AGAGUUUGAUCAUGGCUCAGAACGAACGCUGGCGGCAGGCUUAACACAUGCAAGUCGAGCGCCCCGCAAGGGGAGCGGCAGACGGGUGAGUAACGCGUGGGAAUCUACCCAGUUCUGCGGAAUAACUGAGGGAAACUUCAGCUAAUACCGCAUACGCCCUACGGGGGAAAGAUUUAUCGGAAUUGGAUGAGCCCGCGUUGGAUUAGCUAGUUGGUGAGGUAAUGGCUCACCAAGGCGACGAUCCAUAGCUGGUCUGAGAGGAUGAUCAGCCACACUGGGACUGAGACACGGCCCAGACUCCUACGGGAGGCAGCAGUGGGGAAUAUUGGACAAUGGGCGCAAGCCUGAUCCAGCCAUGCCGCGUGAGUGAUGAAGGCCUUAGGGUUGUAAAGCUCUUUCAGUGGGGAAGAUAAUGACGGUACCCACAGAAGAAGCCCCGGCUAACUUCGUGCCAGCAGCCGCGGUAAUACGAAGGGGGCUAGCGUUGUUCGGAUUUACUGGGCGUAAAGCGCACGUAGGCGGAUCGUUAAGUUAGGGGUGAAAUCCUGGAGCUCAACUCCAGAACUGCCCUUAAUACUGGCGAUCUCGAGUCCGGAAGAGGUAAGUGGAACUCCUAGUGUAGAGGUGGAAUCGUAGAUAUUAGGAAGAACACCAGUGGCGAAGGCGGCUUACUGGUCCGGUACUGACGCUGAAGUGCGAAAGCGUGGGGGCAAACAGGAUUAGAUACCCUAGUAGUCC
rnacentral:rRNA from 1 species